CCAAGGUUAGUGGCAAACGGGUGAGUAAUACAUAUCUAACAUGCCCCUCUGUGGGGGAUAGCCACUUGAAAAAGUGAUUAAUACCCCAUAGGAAGCUUUAUCCAUGAUUUAGCUUUUAAAGCCUUCGGGCGCUGAGGGAUUGGGAUAUGCUCUAUUAGCUAGUUGGCGGGAUAAAAGCCCACCAAGGCAAUGAUAGAUAGCUGGUCUUAGAGGAUGAACAGCCACAAUGGGAUUGAGAUACGGCCCAUAUUCCUACGGGAAGCAGCAGUAGGGAAUCUUCCACAAUGGACGAAAGUCUGAUGGAGCAAUACCAUGUGAACGAUGAAGGCCUUUUUGGUUGUAAAGUUCUUUUACGAGGGAUAAUUAUGAUAGUACUUCGUGAAUAAGUGACAGCAAACUAUGUGCCAGCAGCUGCGGUAAUACAUAGGUCGCAAGCAUUAUUCGGAUUUAUUGGGCGUAAAGCAAGCGCAGGCGGAUGUGUAAGUUCUGUGUUAAAUGCAGCUACUCAAUAGUUGUAUGCACCGAAUACUACAUGUCUAGAUUGUGGUAGGGAGUUUCGGAAUUAAGCAUGGAGCGGUGGAAUGUGUAGAUAUGCUUAAGAACACCAGAGGCGAAGGCGGAAACUUAGGCCAUAAAUGACGCUUAGGCUUGAAAGUGUGGGGAGCAAAUGGGAUUAGAUACCCCAGUAGUCCACACCGUAAACGAUGGGUAUUAGAUAUUAGGGCUUUAGCUUUAGUGUUGUAGCUUACGCGUUAAAUACCCCGCCUGGGUAGUACAUAUGCAAAUAUGAAACUCAAAGGAAUUGACGGGGACCUGAACAAGUGGUGGAGCAUGUUGCUUAAUUCGAUAAUACACGAAAAACCUUACCAAGGUUUGACAUCCCUCGCAAAGCUAUAGAAAUAUAGUAGAGGUUAUCGAGGUGACAGGUGGUGCAUGGCUGUCGUCAGCUCGUGUCUUGAGAUGUUUGGUUAAGUCCCGCAACGAGCGCAACCCCACUCUUUAGUUACUUGUCUAAAGAGACUGCACAGUAAUGUAGAGGAAGGAUGGGAUCACGUCAAGUCAUCAUGCCCCUUAUGCCUUGGGCUGCAAACGUGCUACAAUGGCGAACACAAUGUGUUGCAAACCAGCGAUGGUAAGCUAAUCACCAAAUUUCGUCUCAGUUCGGAUAGGAGG
rnacentral:rRNA from 1 species